rnacentral:rRNA from 1 species
UGGCUUUUUUAUUAGUUGUUAGUAGCGUUAUACAUGCAGCAUCCCUCCCAGUGAGCAUGCCCUUUAAAUCAUAACUAAAUGAUCAAAAGGAGCGGGCAUCAAGCACGCUUAAAUCAAGCAGCUCAUAACGCCUUGCUCAGCCACACCCCCACGGGAUACAGCAGUAAUAAAAAUUAAGCAAUAAACGAAAGUUUGAACUUAGUCAUACUACUCAGGGUUGGUCAAUCUCGUGCCAGCCACCGCGGUCAUACGAUUAACCCAAACUAAUAAACUAACGGCGUAAAGGGUGUUUAGGAUUAAAAACAACAAAUAAAAUUAAGAUCUACCUGGGUUGUAAAAUGCUUCAGGUAAAAUAAAAAUCAACACUCCCUCCAACGAAAGUGAUUUUAGCCUUUCUGAAUACACGAAAACUAAGGCCCAAAGCUUAGUCGUAAAAAUAAAAUAUUCAUAACAAAAUAUUUCGCCCGAGAACUACGAGCCACUGCUUAAAACUCAAAGGACUUGGCGGUGCUUUAUACCCACCUAGAGGAGCCUGUUUUAUAAUCGAUAAACCCCGAUACACCUCACCAUCUCUUGCUUAUAACAGUCUAUAUACCGCCAUCUUCAGCGAACCCUAAAAAGGCAAAAAAGUAAGCAUAAUCAUCUAAUCAUGAAAACGUUAGGUCAAGGUGUAACUUAUGAGAUGGAAAAAAUGGGCUACAUUUUCUUAACAGAAUAUCCACGAUAAUCAUUAUGAAACUAAUGAUAGAAGGCGGAUUUAGUAGUAAAUUAAGAAUAGAGAGCUUAAUUG